GGAGGACAGUGGCGAAAGGGUGAGUAACACGUGAGUAUCUACCUCCAGGUCGGGAACAGCCCGCGGAAACGCGGAUUAAUGCCCGAUGGUCCCUUCGGGGUAAAGAGGAAUCGCCCGGAGACGAGCUCGCGGCCCAUCAGCUUGUUGGCGGGGUAACGGCCCACCAAGGCGACGACGGGUAGGUGGUCUGAGAGGAUGGUCACCCACACUGGGACUGAGAUACUGCCCAGACUCCUACGGGAGGCUGCAGUCGAGAAUCAUCCGCAAUGGGCGAAAGCCUGACGGUGCAAUGCCGCGUGGGGGAUGAAGGCCUUCGGGUCGUAAACCCCUGUCAGAGGGGACGAAAAACAUGACGGUACCCUCAGAGGAGGCCACGGCUAACUACGUGCCAGCAGCCGCGGUAAUACGUAGGUGGCGAGCGUUAUUCGGAUUUACUGGGCGUAAAGGGUCCGCAGGGGGUUUGCCGAGUCCGAUGUGAAAGUCCGCAGCUCAACUGCGGAACUGCGUCGGAUACUGGUGAACUUGAGUGCGCGAAGGGCGAGCGGAAUUCCAGGUGUAGCGGUGGAAUGCGUAGAUAUCUGGAAGAACACCGGCGGUGAAAGCGGCUCGCUGGCGCGCCACUGACCCUCAUGGACGAAAGCGUGGGGAGCGAACCAGGAUUAGAUACCCUGGUAGUCCACGC
rnacentral:rRNA from 1 species